rnacentral:misc_RNA from 1 species
CCGUAUUCUGCUCACGAACGAUUGUGUUUGAUCUCCUCGAGAGAGAAAGACCAACUUCGUGUGGCUUAACGAAACUUUUGCCUAUCUGGUCGUUAUGGUCUAAGAGUGCGCGUAGCAGAUGCUAGGAGACCCCGUCCGGGGGUCCUUCGCUCCCUCGGUCGCCCGGUCCCCGGGUGAUGAAGCUCUCAGCGAGGGAUAGAGCGAGGUUGACCAGUCUGUGGCGAGGUUGUCGAGGAUAAGAGGGGUCGUCUCUCCUUUCUUCAUGGACCUCGGUAUGUCCGUUACUUUUUUUUUUGUAGUUGUCGGAACAUACGACCCUUUCGGUUGCUCGCUCGAUUAAAGGACGAAUCGAUCGACCUUUAGAGCGACUCGAAAGGGUACGUUCAAAGAGUUCUUGGUGGAGACGCCAAGCCGCCGGUCAACUACAUUUCCCCGGUCGUCUAACAAUUUUUUUUCCACACAAUCAAGGACACAUCUAGUUUGUUGCGAGCCGUCUUCUUUUCGGCGGCCGUCUCACAUAAUUUGAAACGUUAACGUACGACCGUAGGCGUUGGAUCACUCGGCUCGU